rnacentral:rRNA from 1 species
GAUGAACGCUGGCGGCGUGCCUAAUACAUGCAAGUCGAGCGAACGGACGAGAAGCUUGCUUCUCUGAUGUUAGCGGCGGACGGGUGAGUAACACGUGGAUAACCUACCUAUAAGACUGGGAUAACUUCGGGAAACCGUAGCUAAUACCGGAUAAUAUUUUGAACCGCAUGGUUCAAAAGUGAAAGACGGUCUUGCUGUCACUUAUAGAUGGAUCCGCGCUGCAUUAUCUAGUUGGUAAGGUAACGGCUUACCAAGGCAACGAUGCAUAGCCGACCUGAGAGGGUGAUCGGCCACACUGGAACUGAGACACGGUCCAGACUCCUACGGGAGGCAGCAGUAGGGAAUCUUCCGCAAUGGGCGAAAGCCUGACGGUGCAACGCCGCGUGAGUGAUGAAGGUCUUCGGAUCGUAAAACUCUGUUAUUAGGGAAGAACAUAUGUGUAAGUAACUGUGCACAUCUUGACGGUACCUAAUCAGAAAGCCACGGCUAACUACGUG